UACAGAGGUCCCAAGCGUUGUUCGGAUUCACUGGGCGUAAAGGGUGCGUAGGCGGUCGGGUAAGUCUGACGUGAAAUCUUCAAGCUUAACUUGGAAACUGCGUCGGAUACUAUUCGGCUGGAGGAAUGGAGGGGAGACUGGAAUACUUGGUGUAGCAGUGAAAUGCGUAGAUAUCAAGUGGAACACCAGUGGCGAAGGCGAGUCUCUGGACAGUUCCUGACACUGAGACACGAAGGCCAGGGGAGCAAACGGG
rnacentral:rRNA from 1 species